UGCAAGUCGAGCGAAGAGAUGGGAGCUUGCUCCCUGAUCUUAGCGGCGGACGGGUGAGUAACACGUGGGCAACCUGCCCUGCAGACUGGGAUAACUCCGGGAAACCGGAGCUAAUACCGGGUAAUACAUCGCACCGCAUGGUGCAAUGUUGAAAGUUGGCUUUCGAGCUAACACUGCAGGAUGGGCCCGCGGCGCAUUAGCUAGUUGGUAAGGUAAUGGCUUACCAAGGCGACGAUGCGUAGCCGACCUGAGAGGGUGAUCGGCCACACUGGGACUGAGACACGGCCCAGACUCCUACGGGAGGCAGCAGUAGGGAAUCUUCCGCAAUGGACGAAAGUCUGACGGAGCAACGCCGCGUGAGUGACGAAGGCCUUCGGGUCGUAAAGCUCUGUUGUUAGGGAAGAACAAGUACCGUUCGAAUAGGGCGGUACCUUGACGGUACCUAACCAGAAAGCCACGGCUAACUACGUGCCAGCAGCCGCGGUAAUACGUAGGUGGCAAGCGUUGUCCGGAAUUAUUGGGCGUAAAGCGCGCGCAGGCGGUCUUUUAAGUCUGAUGUGAAAGCCCACGGCUCAACCGUGGAGGGUCAUUGGAAACUGGAGGACUUGAGUGCAGAAGAGGAGAGUGGAAUUCCACGUGUAGCGGUGAAAUGCGUAGAUAUGUGGAGGAACACCAGUGGCGAAGGCGGCUCUCUGGUCUGUAACUGACGCUGAGGCGCGAAAGCGUGGGGAGCAAACAGGAUUAGAUACCCUGGUAGUCCACGCCGUAAACGAUGAGUGCUAGGUGUUGGGGGGUUCCACCCUCAGUGCUGAAGUUAACACAUUAAGCACUCCGCCUGGGGAGUACGACCGCAAGGUUGAAACUCAAAGGAAUUGACGGGGGCCCGCACAAGCAGUGGAGCAUGUGGUUUAAUUCGAAGCAACGCGAAGAACCUUACCAGGUCUUGACAUCCUCUGACAAUCCUGGAGACAGGACGUUCCCCUUCGGGGGACAGAGUGACAGGUGGUGCAUGGUUGUCGUCAGCUCGUGUC
rnacentral:rRNA from 1 species